UGACAACAAUCGUGAUUUAUGAAUAUGAUGCAGUAGACAUCACCUGUAGAUCAUUGAUAUUGUGUUGCAAUGGUCCUAGGAAUAGAUGUGUCCUAAGCAGAAGCUGGUUAUACCUUUUGCUCUGAGAGAAGUCUAUCGACGGAGAAAUACUUAUGUCUAAACCAGGGAAAAAGAAACGCUUAAGGUUGGGGGAUUUAAAUCUUCCUGUUACAAUGAAUAUUUCCUACCUGAAAAUGCUCCUCAAAAAGGAGCGUGAUAAAGAUCCCA